AGGGAUCAAGGACCUUUAAGUCCAAUCACAUGUUUACAAAUACAGUACCGUGAGACUGCCAGCUCUCAUUUUAAUAUCAUCAUCAAGGAUCUUCAAGUCCUGAUGUAAUUGUAUGAUGAGGAUCAAGGAACUUCUGGUCCUGAUCUGCAUACUGGAAAAACUCAUCAUACAGCACAAUUAAUCCAUAAAAUAAAUUGCUGAUAAAUAAAUUACUGGUAUGGACGAUAAACCCGCACCACACUUUAAAUAAAUGUAAAUGUGCGGUAAAUUAAAUUCAUAAAUUAAAUUGCUUGCUGUAUGGACGUUAAUCCCGCACCAUACUUUAAAUAAAAUUAAAUGUGCGGUAAAGUAAAUUGUGCUUGUAUGGGCACUAAUUCUGCUCCAUACAUUUAAAUAAAAGCAAAGGCGUGGACGAUAAACCCGCACCAUCCUUUUAAAUAAAUACUGUUGUAUGGGUAAUAAACCUACACCAUACAGUAAAUAAAAUAAAUAUGCGGUAAAAUAAAUUUGCGAUAAAGUAAAGGUGCAUGUAUGGGUAAUAAACCUACACCAUACAAUAAAUAAAUGUGGGGUUAAAACCACCACCGAAUAAAAUAAGAAAAAGUUAGUAUUAGUAACGGUCUCCCACUGAUAAUAUGUUUAGUAUUACCAAGGGUCCAUUUUUGUUAGUGGUUAGUAGUAUAGAUAAUAGUGCAGCACAAAAAUUAUACCUGAGAGCUUCUCGUGCUGAUAACGUGUUAUAAAAAUAACCUGGAAUAUGUAUGAAUAUUGAGCUGCACGUAAAGUAGAUGAGACACAGCAUUUAACGAGGUUCGGCUAUGCCUACGUCCUCGGAGAGCAGCAGCAGUAACUUUUUCACUAUAUAAAAUAAUAUGGCUACAACUUUAGAGUUUACAAUAUGUGAGGCUCACUGAAUUUUCUCUCUCUUU
rnacentral:lncRNA from 1 species